rnacentral:tRNA from 1 species
GUCCAGGGGCGGGAAUCGAACCCACAACCUUCUGCUUUCCAUGUCCACUAGGCUACCCUGGA